GGACGAUUUGCCAACUUUCGCCGCGCCCAUCACCACUAUCUUAUGGCGAAACGAAUUCUCCGUUUGCUUCGACGUACCGUUACCCUCGCUCUCGCUGGCCGCGGACAAUCUCUCCGUACUGCUGAUCGAAACGAACGAAGGAGGGAUAAUGGAUGAAAAAAACCGACGGCGGGUGACGGUAAAUUUGGUGAACAUCCGUUCGGUUCACCGCUGAGAAACCGUGAGCCCGCGGGUAGCGUUUCGAUUGAGCCACCCUGUGGGGCGAAAGUAAAACAGGAAGAAAGCGAGGAAGGAAGUCGAGAGGAGGAGGGAGAAAUCCCUGGGAUCUCGGAAGCUGCUCCGAGGAAUAACCUGAACCUGAACCCAACCUGACCCAACGUAAAAAAUGUUCGCGCGAGCCCGAGCCACGGGGGUCACGAUGUCAACAUUCGCUUUGAUGCCGAAAAGAAAAUUUUCCGUACCGCUUCUUAUUUCCGAUGCUUUAUUCCGCGCUUCUCUUCGUUUCCGCGCAGAGGAGAUAAAUGAAAAGACAAAAAGGAGAGGAAGAAAGAAAGAAAAAAAAAAAAUCAAGACGGAAAGCGGUGGAAACGGGCCAGUAGGAAGAGGAGGAAAACGGAGGAGGUGACUGUACGAUGGAAAAAAUGCCGCCUCAAAUUGGCAAUUUUGGCCGAUCGACGAGGUCUUGAAAAAAAAAAUCAAGCACCCGAGGUCCCGUGGGAAUGCGGUGGUCUCUGGUCAACAGGUAGAAUACCGACUGGCAGGGGAUUCGAAGUGCGAAAGAAUAAGACGAAGAAGAAGUGGGGAUUCUUUUUUCACACGAAUAUGAGGUUGGUUUUUUUUAUUUUUCUUUUUAUUCUGUCCGUUCUCGUUUCUCGUUUCCGCACGUUUGUUGCGAACGAAACUUUCCGAGUUUGUUGGUUUCUUAAGUUUUUCGAUCGAAUUACUCGGUCAACGAUUAUCGCACCUCCUCUUCGUUCACCGAGCGAAGGAUAAAUGGGAGCCUGCUCCUGUCUUUGAAUAUCGGCGAAUUUUAUUUUUAUUUUUGUUUUUUGAGUCGAAAAAAGUUUGAAGUAAAUCAGCGAAUUCACGGGAAACGUUCGACGCCGCCGGGAAAGUUGAUAUUCGCGAAUAUAGAAGCGAAAUUGCGUUCGAAAUUUGAAUUUCAAAUCUC
rnacentral:lncRNA from 1 species